GAUGAACGCUGGCGGCGUGCCUAAUACAUGCAAGUCGAGCGAACAGACGAGGAGCUUGCUCCUCUGACGUUAGCGGCGGACGGGUGAGUAACACGUGGAUAACCCACCUAUAAGACUGGGAUAACUUCGGGAAACCGGAGCUAAUACCGGAUAAUAUAUUGAACCGCAUGGUUCAAUAGUGAAAGACGGUUUUGCUGUCACUUAUAGAUGGAUCCGCGCCGCAUUAGCUAGUUGGUAAGGUAACGGCUUACCAAGGAAACGAUGCGUAGCCGACCUGAGAGGGUGAUCGGCCACACUGGAACUGAGACACGGUCCAGACUCCUACGGGAGGCAGCAGUAGGGAAUCUUCCGCAAUGGGCGAAAGCCUGACGGAGCAACGCCGCGUGAGUGAUGAAGGUCUUCGGAUCGUAAAACUCUGUUAUUAGGGAAGAACAAAUGUGUAAGUAACUAUGCACGUCUUGACGGUACCUAAUCAGAAAGCCACGGCUAACUACGU
rnacentral:rRNA from 1 species